UGCAAGUCGAACGGUAGCACAGAGAGCUUGCUCUCGGGUGACGAGUGGCGGACGGGUGAGUAAUGUCUGGGAAACUGCCUGAUGGAGGGGGAUAACUACUGGAAACGGUAGCUAAUACCGCAUAACGUCGCAAGACCAAAGAGGGGGACCUUCGGGCCUCUUGCCAUCAGAUGUGCCCAGAUGGGAUUAGCUAGUAGGUGGGGUAACGGCUCACCUAGGCGACGAUCCCUAGCUGGUCUGAGAGGAUGACCAGCCACACUGGAACUGAGACACGGUCCAGACUCCUACGGGAGGCAGCAGUGGGGAAUAUUACACAAUGGGCGCAAGCCUGAUGCAGCCAUGCCGCGUGUAUGAAGAAGGCCUUCGGGUUGUAAAGUACUUUCAGCGGGGAGGAAGGCGAUACGGUUAAUAACCGUGUUGAUUGACGUUACCCGCAGAAGAAGCACCGGCUAACUCCGUGCCAGCAGCUGCGGUAAUACGGAGGGUGCAAGCGUUAAUCGGAAUUACUGGGCGUAAAGCGCACGCAGGCGGUCUGUCAAGUCGGAUGUGAAAUCCCCGGGCUCAACCUGGGAACUGCAUCCGAAACUGGCAGGCUUGAGUCUCGUAGAGGGAGGUAGAAUUCCAGGUGUAGCGGUGAAAUGCGUAGAGAUCUGGAGGAAUACCGGUGGCGAAGGCGGCCUCCUGGACGAAGACUGACGCUCAGGUGCGAAAGCGUGGGGAGCAAACAGGAUUAGAUACCCUGGUAGUCCACGCCGUAAACGAUGUCUAUUUGGAGGUUGUGCCCUUGAGGCGUGGCUUCCGGAGCUAACGCGUUAAAUAGACCGCCUGGGGAGUACGGCCGCAAGGUUAAAACUCAAAUGAAUUGACGGGGGCCCGCACAA
rnacentral:rRNA from 1 species